UGUGAAAAGUCUUCAUUUGAAAGUUUGCUAAGCAACAAAUCCUUCAAAUAGAACAGGUUGCAACUCUACUCUGCCUGGAAAGUACACAUGCAUCUGCUGAUAUAGACUGAUACAGGACUGGCUUUUUGCAUGCAGAACACCAUUUAUCUCAAACUGGACCCAGACAAGUUCAGUGUCUGUCUCUGACUGGAUGCAUGCCAGAUUGUCCUUUGGGAUAUAGCCCAGUGAGCAGGAGAAAUGAGUUUGAACUUGGCAAAAUGGCAAUAAGCAUAAAGGGAGGUCUCAUGGAUACCAAAGAGGAAAGCAAAUGUAGUUGUCCUGAUUAUUUCUUGUUUCUUCAAAUCCCAUCACACACAAUAAUCCUCUGUGGCUUUCUGCCCCACACGAUGUUUUGAUGCUCUUGAUUUAGGAAGAAACUGGAGAGCUGCUUCAUCAGUGCCAAUCCAUACUGUGGCUGGUCUCAUGAAAAGGAUCUUAUUGAUGAAUUAGAGCAGUGACCCUCCCAGCCAUGGAAGAAUACCUCACACAAAAAAAUCCAUAGGUGACUAAUAGGUGUGGUAAGCAGCCUGUGAGAUUUGGGAGAAACAUUCUGGUAUACAUGGAAAUCAACCUAGAUCUAAAUUACCUGCCAUUGUGGAUAUUUUAGUCUUAAUUCAUGGUUUUCUACCACAUUUCAGAAUGUAUCCUUUAUCUGAACAGCUUUGCUUUCUUGUUUGUUUGUUUUUUAUGUUUGUCAGUCAUUACACAGUGCUAUUUAGAAUCAAUUUAGCACCCUUCCACGUGUUGAGUGGUUGUGGUGAGUGAUGAUUGCAGGAUUAGCCUGCUAGUAAUUAAAUGUUGCUGCCUCUUAGCUUGAAAAUGAAACAUCUCUAUGGAAUGUAAGUGUUUCUUGCUUUAUUUAGGUUGGGCAUGUCUAAAUAGUAUGGGUAGGUUCUCCAAGUCAGUGCAGGCACAGUGCAAUCAUAAAAUAAUAAAUUUAAAAAGCAAAAUGAAGAAGGGGGAAGAGGAGAGAGAGAGAGGAAGAAGAGAAGAAGAAAUUGAGAGAAGGGAAACAAAUUCAACCAAUCAUUAAAACUUUGAAUUGCAUGGGAAAUUUUCUACACUUUGCUGAAUCUUGGGUGUAAUUUCCUAAUUUUGGCUUUGGGCUAUCCAGGUAAAAGUUUCCUGUCUGGACUCAUUUUUACUCACAGAUAGGUCUUCAAAAUUUGUAAGUGUUAAGUUGUGUAAAAUAGGGUGUGUUGCCUGUUUGUUGAAGCCUAGAGGGGUAUCUGUCUCAGUAAAGCAGAGGCUGGGUUCUUUACCAUUUGUGGACCCACUGAAUGCUUGAUUUUCAUAUUGGCUUUACCAGUAUGAAGAGUUUUAGCUCUUGAAUUCACUGAUUAAUGUUCUAAGCAGAAUGAAGCCCUUUUUUAUUUUUCUCAAAAUCCGCUACCAAAAAUCACACUAUUUCAGCAUUCAAAGACAGUUCUUUGCUUCUUCAAAGACUUAUUAGACUGAUCUGUCCCAUGCUCCUCACAGGACUGUAGCAGUAUAACCUCAUAUGAUACAAAUGCUGAGCUUCUGUUUGAAAUAACAGGGAUGAUGCCUAAUCCUGAACAGACCUCAGAAGGAUUUUAAAUAAAGGUUGUCACUGAGAGGCCUGUAAGCUGCCCUCACUUAGUUCUGUCUGGCCUGUGUUAGGGUGAAGAUGAAGGCUUUUUACCUUGAGCUCUUGUUACAUUUAAGGAUUCAUGCUGAAUAACAAUAAUAAAAGAUUAAUCUCA